GAGGGGAGACACUGAGAAGUCAGGAAACAUCUGUUCCAAAUGGCGUCCCCAGAAGGAUUUGGAGUACCAGUGACUUGGGUUAUCUUUGCAGUUAGGGAAGAAGGGAACACAUCCCAGGAUCCCUUGCUCUGCUUUCUAUGAAGACAUGGAGACGUGCGGGCUUUAUUUCCCAUCUCCCAGCCCCGGGUGCCUCUGUGAUGAAGCCUUGACGGUUUUGGCUGCCCUUUCUCGACUUCUGUUGUUUUCUGGGGCUCAGUGGGAUCAGUAUUCUGUGCCGUGGCAAGACAUGCCAACAAAUUGCAUCACUUCUGCCUCGGUGACCAAGGACAAUGACAUGCCAUAUGCCAGCGGCAGGAAAUGAAUGGGGCUCAUUUACACUGGCACCGGGUGAUGCGGCCAUCAGCUUCCUGAGACUGUCUGCAGCAAAUUGGAAGGUGGCAGAGAGGCGGAACCCCUGGGCUCCCAGCUACAGGACAGAGAAGACUCUGGAGCCAGGAAGCUCAGUGCUUGGGUCUGCUGCAAACUGCUGGAAGCGUAAAUGGGAAGAAAGUUCUCUCUGCAUAGCUCACAGCUCUGCACUGAUCUCAGCGCUGUCGGAAGUGUGUACCGGGAUUCCGUCUUUCUCACUUGUUUUCUGUGCUCAGGGCUGUUGCAGGCAAAGGUCUUUUGCUAACGAGGCGAGCAACGGGAGAUGGUGAGAGUUGGUCGAUGGCAGUUGAGAACAGGACAUGAAAAGAUGUUUCCAUACAUUGCCGAAAGAGAAAGAGGAGGAACCAUCAGAGUGUGGGAGAAGGAAUGAUGCCCAUGACUGAUCCAAGGAUGCUCUGGGUGUUAGCUCCAGCAGACAGUGCUGGGUGCAUGCUUGCUCAGCGCUUGUAUAUGCUGACCCCUAACCUUGCUGACCCAACCCUUGCAGAUAGAAGUCCCUAACCUUGCUAUCCCAACCCUUGCUAAUGAUGACCUGUAACCUUUCUAUUUCAGCCUUUGCAGAUGUGGGCCCUUGACACUGUAAUCAUCUUUGUUAGGUGUGCAAAAGAUGACCCUCCGAACCAUAUGAACACAGUUCUGGGAACUGUGCCCUCUAUGUUCAAACUAAUAUAAACAAGAAUGUAAGGAAAAGAACCCCA
rnacentral:sRNA from 1 species